rnacentral:misc_RNA from 1 species
GAAGGUCAGAAGGCUUUCCUGCUGGAACCUUUUUAGUAACUUUCUUCUUAGCAUAUGUUUUAACUGGGUUGGCAGAGCUCUCAAUUUCCUGAGCAUCAACUACUUGCUUGGGUUGUUCAACUUCUUCAAUCUUCGCAGUAGUCUUCUCGUCAGGCUUUAUAGUUCCAUCUUCCACAGCUGUUUUCUUACCAGCAACUUUUCUUUUGACAAUUUUCUUAACUGUAGGCUUUUUAGUUGUAAUAAUCGGUACUUCCAAACUGACCAC